rnacentral:rRNA from 1 species
GGGUAACGGCCCACCAAGCCUUCGAUCAGUAGCUGAUGUGAGAGCAUGAUCAGCCACACGGGCACUGAGACACGGGCCCGACUCCUACGGGAGGCAGCAGUAAGGAAUAUUGGUCAAUGGACGCAAGUCUGAACCAGCCAUGCCGCGUGGAGGAUGAAGGCCCUCUGGGUUGUAAACUUCUUUUCUUUGGGACGAAACCCCUGUUUCUACGGGGACUGACGGUACCAGAGGAAUAAGCACCGGCUAACUCCGUGCCAGCAGCCGCGGUAAUACGGAGGGUGCAAGCGUUAUCCGGAUUCACUGGGUUUAAAGGGAGCGUAGGUGGGCUUUUAAGUCAGUGGUGAAAUCUUUGGGCUUAACCCGAAAACUGCCAUUGAUACUAUUAGUCUUGAAUUCUCUGGAGGUAAGCGGAAUAUGUCAUGUAGCGGUGAAAUGCUUAGAUAUGACAUAGAACACCCAUUGCGAAGGCAGCUUACUACGGAGACAUUGACACUGAGGCUCGAAAGCGUGGGGAUCAAACAGGAUUAGAUACCCUGGUAGUCCACGCCCUAAACGAUGAUUACUCGACAUUAGCGAUAUUACUGUUAGUGUCUAAGCGAAAGCAUUAAGUAAUCCACCUGGGAAG